GACGAACGCUGGCGGCGUGCUUAACACAUGCGAGUCGAACGGAAAGGCCCUGCUUUUGUGGGGUGCUCGAGUGGCGAACGGGUGAGUAACACGUGAGUAACCUGCCCUUGACUUUGGGAUAACUUCAGGCAACUGGGGCUAAUACCGGAUAGGAGCUCCUGCUGCAUGGUGGGGGUUGGAAAGUUUCGGCGGUUGGGGAUGGACUCGCGGCUUAUCAGCUUGUUGGUGGGGUAGUGGCUUACCAAGGCUUUGACGGGUAGCCGGACUGAGAGGGUGACCGGCCACAUUGGGACUGAGAUACGGCCCAGACUGCUACGGGAGGCAGCAGUGGGGAAUAUUGCACAAUGGGAGGAAGCCUGAUGCAGCAACGCCGCGUGCGGGAUGACGGCCUUCGGGUUGUAAACCGCUUUCGCCUGUGACGAAGCGUGAGUGACGGUAAUGGGUAAAGAAGCACCGGCUAACUACGUG
rnacentral:rRNA from 1 species